UGCAAGUCGAGCGGACAGAUGGGAGCUUGCUCCCUGAUGUUAGCGGCGGACGGGUGAGUAACACGUGGGUAACCUGCCUGUAAGACUGGGAUAACUCCGGGAAACCGGGGCUAAUACCGGAUGCUUGUUUGAACCGCAUGGUUCAGACAUAAAAGGUGGCUUCGGCUACCACUUACAGAUGGACCCGCGGCGCAUUAGCUAGUUGGUGAGGUAACGGCUCACCAAGGCGACGAUGCGUAGCCGACCUGAGAGGGUGAUCGGCCACACUGGGACUGAGACACGGCCCAGACUCCUACGGGAGGCAGCAGUAGGGAAUCUUCCGCAAUGGACGAAAGUCUGACGGAGCAACGCCGCGUGAGUGAUGAAGGUUUUCGGAUCGUAAAGCUCUGUUGUUAGGGAAGAACAAGUGCCGUUCAAAUAGGGCGGCACCUUGACGGUACCUAACCAGAAAGCCACGGCUAACUACGUGCCAGCAGCCGCGGUAAUACGUAGGUGGCAAGCGUUGUCCGGAAUUAUUGGGCGUAAAGGGCUCGCAGGCGGUUUCUUAAGUCUGAUGUGAAAGCCCCCGGCUCAACCGGGGAGGGUCAUUGGAAACUGGGGAACUUGAGUGCAGAAGAGGAGAGUGGAAUUCCACGUGUAGCGGUGAAAUGCGUAGAGAUGUGGAGGAACACCAGUGGCGAAAGCGACUCUCUGGUCUGUAACUGACGCUGAGGAGCGAAAGCGUGGGGAGCGAACAGGAUUAGAUACCCUGGUAGUCCACGCCGUAAACGAUGAGUGCUAAGUGUUUAGGGGGUUUCCGCCCCUUAGUGCUGCAGCUAACGC
rnacentral:rRNA from 1 species